rnacentral:lncRNA from 1 species
GUUUACGCUAGGCUCGUCCUCUGCUUGGCUCCUCCUCGUUCGCUGGAAGAGGAAGUAUGAUUUCACACUCGUACGUAGGCGGGUGACCACGUCCUCAAAAUAAUGGGAUCGUCGUUACGGACGAUACGACACCCAAGGGGAAGCGGUUAAGUUUGUCAUUACGAGGCGCAUUAUGCCGGCGCAUCCGCUUUCGCAGACACAGCUCCUCUCUCUCUCCCUCCCUCUCUUCCCCUCCCCGCAUUUCGAAAUUACGCGAAUAAUUAAACUGCGCAUCGCCACUUCCGCUGCGACGCGUUAUAAACUUGCCCGGCUGGAAACGAUCGUGCGUUCUCGAAUAAUAGGCUCGUUCUUUGAUGCACGAUAGAACGAAAAUUUGCUGUUUCAUGUCGUUUAUUGUUAUCGUCGAUGACGAAUUUUUCGGAAAAAUUGGGGACGAGAUAGAAGGAAGUUGAAAUUUGUAAAGGACAAGAGAAUAAUUAGCAUUUUAUUCUUUUUUAUCUUUCUCGACGAUAAAUUUAAACUUCUUAGUUUAAAACUAAUGAGUUUUAGAACGUGAAUGGAUUUUAAAUUUCUUUUUUUUUGUAUCGACUUGCAGUAGAACAAAAGAAAGAAAACUUUAAAAUUUUCAGGAAUCAAAAUGUGCUCUUUCCAUUGUGAAACAUGAAUAUAUUUUAAAUUUCAUUAAUAAACUUUGUUAUGUGACGAGUGACGUAAAUUGGAUCUCUGUGUAUAAAAAUUUUUAAACCAAUAUUUAAACGAAUGAUUUAUAAUUUAUAAUUAUAGGGAAAUCUAUAAAAUGUUGCAACGAAGAAUCGUAAUAUCCAUAAUUUUAUCCCCCAAAAAACUUCCAACUUUGUAAUCUUUACGAAUCGCACAAGAUCGAGCAUCGUGUUCCACAAUCCAAGUUAUACAUUACAGCAACCUGUGUAAUGAAAUUGAAGUGUAUAGACAGGUCCAGAUAACCUCGCAUUAAUCUCAACGAGAGAGAAAGAGAGGUUAGGGAACGUAGAGAGUAGCGAUUUCGAAUAUUUAUAUGGACCUAAUGCCUCACCGUACGACGAUCGAUAAUUCGAAAAUUCCCUUGUAUCGCGCGCACAACAGUUUAAGAACAAACCGAUAUUGUCAGACCAGGGGAUAAUUGGAGCGGUCGAUGCUGGUUUUAUCGACGGGUUAACCGUGAGCCGCGAGGUUUAAUGACUUGGCGUCUUGAUGUGACGAUAUUGGCUAAACUUUAUUGAUACUACCUACGAACUUAAUACAGAUUACCGUUACACGAGGUAAAGAUGGGAACGUUUUACCAACAUCGGUGAAAAUUCUUGGCGAAGGAUCGAUCCUGUAGAGAACAAUGUUUCGCCCGAUCGUGAUCGAGUGGAAAAUAAUAAGAAUAAUACGAUUGUGAAAAAAACGAUUACCGACGGUGCUAAUAGAAGAGAAUAAAUGGGAGAAAGUCGCGGUUAUCGAUUGAUGGAAUUGAAGAUUUUAAGUAAGAACGACGAUCUCUUUGUUCUUCGAUUGUAAUUGUAACGAUGUUGGAUUGAAUUGAAUCGCAGGUUUCAGAAUACUGUACACGGUAUCUCUAAAUACGAGGUUACAAUACCUGAUGUGUAAUGUUAGUACAUACUGUUUUAUGACGAAGGUGAUUCGCGCGAUAUUCAUUAUCCAACUGGAUACUAUUCCAUAAUAAUGGCCCGAUACAAUGGAAUCGCGUGUGGUAUGAAAUAUUAGCUCGUAUCACGUGAAAUUGCCGUUUUUGAAAUUAAAAACAAUAUAUUUUCGAAACUAUAAUCUUUAUUCGAUCAAAAUAUGAGCUAUUAGUUUUAAUGACGUUUUCUCAAUUGACGUAUUCCAUUUUUACAAAACUUCAUGGUUUUGAGAGUGAAUAAAUUCUUCGAAUGUUGCGAUUACAGCUUCUCGUCGAGUAUUUCAUUUUUUAAAAACAAAAAACAACUGAAACCCAUUGCAUCCAAAUAUCAUUGGAGCGGGUGUUGUUCGUUGGAUUAGCUUCUAUUUCGCCUUCCAAUUUAUUUUUGUUUAAUAUGGAUCUCGAUCUAGCUCGGGGCUCAUUUUCAAAAUUCUCAUUUCCACAUCUGAAUUUUUUAAACUGCCGCCGAAAACUAACUUAAUAUUUUGAUAUGCUUCGGCUGGCCCAAAUUAAACAGGAAUAAUAUUUUAUAAAUUCGUUCAAAAAACAGUCAAACCAAGAUACAAUACAAAAAAAGAACUUAUUUUACGCAAAGAAAAUAUAAGAGGAAUAAAAAUACAUUAAAACAAAUUAUAAGUUAAAUAAAAUUUAACAAGAUACGAUUAAUCGAUCAUUUAUUCUGAAAUUGGCAAUUUCACGUGGUAUAAUCACUUAAUAUUAAUAAAAUAUGCGUAAAACGCGUGUAAUUAAAUAUUCUCCACAAAAAAAAAAUAAAAAGAUCGCAUAUAUGUGAAUGGUAGAAAAUUCAGAAUGGAAAAUUAAUUUUCCGGAUUCAUAAUAUAUACACACAUAUAUACCUAUAUAUACACGCAUAUAUCUGUAUAUCCACGCGUAAACAGGCAAAGAUGACGUGAGUUUGUCCGCGAGGAGUGCAAUAUGGACGAAGAGGGGGGGAAGGGCACGAUAAAUAUUAUACGCGAUACCGGCAACUGUUUAUUUAAGCGUCGGUUAUUUGCGCAAAUGCUAUAAACAUGGCGGAGGUUGCGCUGGCUGAAAUCCACACGUCGCCAUCUAUAGAGAACAGAUGUGCGAGUGUGCUCCAUACGUGUGGCUACGUCUAAUUCGGCGACCAGGCGAAUAUCUUCCAGCUUGUUAUUCCUCGGUACAAAUACAAAUAAUACAAACCCGUGAGAGAAUAGAAUCGUUUCACCUUCCUCCUUUCGCGAAUGAUAUCGCGAAUGGAGAGUGGAAUCGGCCAUAUCGACCCUCGUCUACACCUUUUCCCGAAACGUGUAAUCUCUUUGUUGGAAUGAAUUGGGAUGGAGCGGUUGCAACGGCUACACGAAUAUACGAAAAGUAAAUAUUCGGUGAAGAAAAAUCGUGGAAAAUUUGAGAACUCUAGAAGAAGGAGAGUAUACACAAAAUUAUACACACUAAGGUGAAAACACAAUGGAACGGAGGAACAACGUGGAGCAAAUGGAGCGGAAACUGCAAUGCCCUCCAGUCUGAAUCAACCGGUACCCUCGUUAGCCACUCUAACUCCGUAAGUCCUCGAACCUCGGCCUUCUCUAGCCACGCUAUUUGUUUGAAUUUCACUCUUCAACCAUGUUUGUGCGUAUAUAUCCGUGUACAAAACGCACUUGUGCGCUACUAUAUUCAAUAUACUGCAGCGGUUUACGCGGUGUAUAGUUAAGGCGGUUCGCUAAAAACCGGUACACGGUUGGAUGCUCCUUUAAGGAUGCCUCGUAACGAGUCAACUAAACUGUGGUGUUGACUAGACUCCGGUGGAAGGGAUAGAGGCCGCGGAGCAUCGCGCGGUAAAGGGGGGUGUCCUUCCAAGUGUGUAAACACAGCCUCGCGAAUAUUACGAGUUGUCCGUUACGAGAUAUAUCUAUACAUGUAUUGUGUCGAACUUUGUGGAUCUUUCUAGACUUUCACCGACAGGCGUGAAAAUGUUAGUGUGCAAAAAUUUCGGCCGAGGCUCGAGUUUAUCGAGUUACCAGCAAUUUAAUUUUGCGCUUGUAGGUAGGCAACCAUAGAUGCGGAACUGUGCGCAGGGCCGUGCCGUAGUGGAUUGGGGCCCCCCGUUUACCGUUUCACGAUCAUUUUAUAAACUGCGAUCUUUUUGAAACGAAGUUAUCGAACGUCUCGUAGGAUUUUCUCGUGUGUAUCUAUUGAGAAGAAUGAGAUAUUAAAGUAUUGUUAAAGGCGUUGUAAGGUCGGUUAAUGUCACUUAACACGCGUCUCUUGUUUCUUCUUAUUUAUGGAUCCAUCGAAAAAGUUAUUUAUGGAUGGAAUAAUAUUGAUAAUCGAUAUUCGUUGGGAUUGUCAUUUAUCAUUGCGGGAAUGGAAUAGUAUUUGAUUGUACAGAAUGUAUCGUAAUAAUAUUACAAAUCGGCCCCUUUCGGAAAAGCAUUUUAUCGAUCCAGCUUAACGAUUUUUCCUUUUUUUUUUUUCACGAAAAUCUCGUUUCCUCGUAUCGAACAAACGAAAUUUUUUUGUAAACAAAAAACGCGUGCUACGUAAACACGCGAAAUUGUACGGCGAAAGUUUUCAACGGCGACGAUUAAAAGGGAUUUGCAUUUUAUAUCGGAUUUAAUACGCGAAAACUGCCGCUUCGACCUGCUAUCGUGGAAACGCGCGCAGCCACGUAAUUAAAAUUAAUUAUAGCGUUUCAUUAACACGAGCGAUAGCACAAUGCGCGAUUCCAAGCGCAUUAAUCGUAAUAACCCAACCGGUCCGGUCUUAUGUAGUUAUACGCCGUGUGAUGUAACGGUUAAUUCCGUUGGAAAAUUCUAUCGUUUGUCGUGCUUCUACGAUUACGUCAUGCCAUACGUUUUACUUUCUUUCUUUCCUUCUUUUUUAGCCACUUGACUUAACUUGGCAACUAGCCAAGCUU